CCAUGUUGGCCACUGGUACUACCGAAGCAUCCUGUUGCUCCAGAUAGAAAUCUUCAAGCAGGACCAGCUCCAGAAUCUGCCCGUCCUGGUGCAAAGUGAACCCGGGGGGCCCCAGGCAGGAACAGGGAAGCCAGUUCCCCCUUCCCAGGGGUCUGUACCCCAACCUGCAGUGGACAGGCCGCUCCGUUGGGGGAUUGUGCCUGGAUCCAGCGUGGCCAAGAGCCUCCACAGAGGUCCCUGCCAGCCUGGGGUGGGGUCUCUGUUGGCUUUGCUCACACAGCUGUGAAGCUGGCCUCGAAGCCUUUGGUGACUCCUUGGUUACUCAUUUUUCCCUCACUCUGGAUGUUCUGCUCUAAAAUCCGCCUCAACCCUUGACGUCUCUCACACUCCAGCCAUUGCGAACAUCCAAGGCUACAGUGAGCGAGACACGCAAACGGAAUUGCGUACGGUGGGAGGUUAACGAAUUUGUUUAGUGCAUAGUCUAGAUGGCUAGAUGGCCUACAGUGGGGAGGGCUGGGGGGGUGCUGAUGUGGUUUGAGAAACUGGAGCAGUUUUCUCAAAAUGUGAAUUAAAUGAACUUUAUUUUUUACAAUAGUUUUAGAUUUACAGAGAGAUUGUGAAUAUAGUAUGGAGCAUUCCCCAUCGAUUCCGAACUUGGUCUCUCUCUUAUUAUGAACGUUACCUGCGACAUCUGUCACAAGUAAUGAGCCACUGUUGAUACUUUUUUUGUUUGUUUGUUUUGAUUUUUAGGACCACACCCAUGGCAUACGGAGGUUUCCAGGCUAGGGGUUCAAUUGGAGCAGCAGCUGCCAGCCUGCACCACAGCCACAGCAACGCCAGAUCCAAGCAGUGUCUGCAACCUACACCCUACACCACAGCUCAUGGCAGUGCUGGAUCCUUAACCCACUGGGCAAGGCCAGGGAUGGAACCCGAUUUCUCAUAGAUACUUAGUCCGGCUCUUAACCUGCUGGGUCACAACGGGAACUCCAAAGAUCAAUACAUUAUUCUUAAUGAAGGUCUGUACUUUUUUCAGAGUUCCUUAGUUUGUACCUAAUAUUCUUUUUCUGUUCCAGGGUCCCCCAUGUAAUCCUCAUGUCUCAUUAGGCUCCUCUCAGCUAUGACAGUUUUUUGGUUCUUUAUUGGUUUUGAUGACCUUGUCAGGUUUGGGGACGACUAGUUAGAGAUAUUGUAGGAUAUGCCUCUGUUGGAACUUUCUCAUGAUUAGAUUGGAGUUACGGUUGCUGGGAGGAAGACCACAGACAUAAAGGCCAGGGAUCGAACCCGCAACCUCAUGGAUACUAGUCAGAUUCGUUUUUGUUGUGUCACGACAGAAACUCCUCAUAUAUAUAUUUUUUUAAUUUUGUUGCUGUACAGUUGACUUACAAUGUUGUCUUAAUUUCUGCUGUACAGCAAAGUGAUGCUGCUGUACAUACACACAGCCUUUUCCUUUACGGCUUUUCACAGGAUAUGGCAUAUAGUUCCCUGUGCAAGUGCAGUGGGACCCUGUCAUUUAGCCAUGCUGUAUCUGCUAAUCGCAAACUCCCAAUCCUUCCCUCCCUGACUGUAUCACGUUAGUGGGCUGAAGUGAUUUGAAGCACUCAUUUCGGAAGGAAGAUGUAGCGGGAAGUGAGGAUGGGGAGGUGUGGAGAUUAUUAGAAACACGUUGAGUCUGAUCAGGCCUUUCAGCUCCCAAUUUUCCUCUUCAUUAGUUAUGCAUAGCUCCCAUCAUCAGGGGCAGGGUUCUGCUGUGACAGACCUUUUUUUGUUAAUGACCUAGUGGGAUGAAAGGUGUCCCCAGAGGAUGGAAUUGGGUCUGCCCAGGACGUUUAAGUUUGUUUUGCAGUUUAAUGCAACAGUGGUCUACAAGCAGAGGCGCUGGCUCCAAUUAGGGGCCAGCAGCACAUGUUGCCAGUAUUGAGAGGGUGGUGGGAAGAAAUACUGAUAACUGAAGAAUAUUCAAAAAUAAAUAAAUAAAAAGAGGUCUUGUCAAAGAAUUCAGCCA
rnacentral:lncRNA from 1 species